CGCCGUGACAUUCCGGAAGAUCUUCUCC
rnacentral:rRNA from 1 species